GCAAGGCCUCCUAGCUCUGGGUUCCCGGCCACUUGCCCUCCGGGCGCCGGCGCCGCGUCUCUCCUGCUAGCUUCUCGCCCUUCCAAGGGCUUGCCAUGCGCUCCCGGGUCUGAGGGACCCGUGCCUGGUUCGCGGCGCCGCACACGAACCCCGACGGGGCCUUCCUCUCAGGACCACUCAGCUUAGCUUGUGCAGCCUGUACGUCGAGGACAGCCUGCCGCGGGGCUUGCUGAGGAGAAGCCUGCCGGCCCAGGAAGAACUUAUUCCAGGGGUUCAUGAAGAGGUAUGGAAGACUCAAAAGACAGAGGGGAACCCUGAAGUACCAUAUAAACAGUACUCCGAGGAAACAGUUACCACCCAUAGGGCUGGGAAUACAAGGGAAGAGUCUGGAGUAAUGGGUUCCUGGAAGAUUGGAAGAGGGUCCUGACAAGAGCUGGAACCCAGACCAGCUGGACACAGGUAGAGGUUCAUUAUCCAAGACAUUGCAGAAUGGAAUUGUAACCCUGACAUGUUGCCCUGUCACAUCUAGAAGACACUUUUCAUCACCAGAAAGAAAAGAGCCUUCUUAGAGCCGAUCUCCAGCACUCAAGGAUCCCAGCUAGAGUCUAAGCAUGAGAAAAACAUCAGACAAAUCCUAAUUGAGGGACAUUCUACAAAAUACUGACUAGUACCUCAAACAUGUCAAAGUCAUCAAAACCAAGGAAAGUCUAAGAAACAAGAAAAGCCAAGAAGAGCCUAAAGAGAUGUGAUGACUGAACAUAAGGUGAUAUCCUCCAUGGGAUCCUGGGACAGAAAAAGGACACUAGGUGAAAACUAAAGACAUCUGAAUAAACUUUGGACUGUAGGUAUUUACUGAAGUGAGCAAGUGUUUGUCACUCUUUGGAGCCUGAGUGGCAGAUAAAACCAACUUGGAGACUUCUUGGAGCACAAGUAUAAGUUCCACCCCAGAGGCUGCUGCAGGGUGCCUGGACUGCACACAGACCACCUCCAUGCUUGCAGCGCUGAGGGGACCACAGGUAAGAGGUCCUUAAUCACUGAGUGGUCAGGCUUGUGAGAGAACACACUCUGACCAGAGGUACAGCCUUGGUGGAGGUUUCAGCUUCAAAAGCCAGGCUGGGAUUACUCGGUUGCUUCUCCCUCCACGUCCUGAGGGACUCUGAGUUGUAUUUAAGCAGCCCCACAUCCCUACCUGUAACUGUGUGUGCCAGAGCAACUCAUGUUGUACCCAAGCUAUAAAGAACUAAUUAACCACACUUAUUGGUCCAUAAUUUGUUAUUUCUGUAUUCUGUUCCCAAGGUUCCCUCUUAAGU